CGAGAGGCCCAAACGUUAUUCGGAAUUACUGGGCUUAAAGAGUUCGUAGGCGGCGCAGAAAGUAGGGUGUGAAAGCCCUCGGCUCAACCGAGGAAUUGCGCUCUAAACUACUGUGCUUGAGGAAGCUAGAGGUGAGCGGAACUGAUGGUGGAGCGGUGAAAUGCGUUGAUAUCAUCAGGAACACCGGAGGCGAAGGCGGCUCACUGGGGCUUAUCUGACGCUGAGGAACGAAAGCCAGGGGAGCGAACGGGAUUAGAUACCCCGGUAGUCCUGGCCGUAAACGAUGAGCACUAGGCCGGAGGUCUGCACAGAUUUCCGGCCGUAGCUAAAGUGUUAAGUGCUCCGCCUGGGGAGUAUGGUUGCAAGGCUG
rnacentral:rRNA from 1 species